rnacentral:rRNA from 1 species
UACGGAGGGAGCUAGCGUUGUUCGGAUAUACUGGGCGUAAAGCGCACGUAGGCGACGCCGUAAGUCAGGGGUGAAAUCCCGGAGCUCAACUCCGGAACUGCCUUUGAAACUGCGGUGCUAGAAUCCUGGAGAGGCGAGUGGAAUUCCGAGUGUAGAGGUGAAAUUCGUAGAUAUUCGGAAGAACACCAGUGGCGAAGGCGACUCGCUGGACAGGUAUUGACGCUGAGGUGCGAAAGCGUGGGGAGCAAACAGG